UCCUUUUCUGAGGCCAAAAUGGUGGUGAAGCGAGAGGCCAAUUUUUUGUGCGAAGGACGAAGUCGGUGACCUGCCAUCCAGCUCGUGUAAACCGCAUGACUUUGGGCCACCAUGCAUCUGAAAUUUCGAUGAGCCAAAACCACUCCAUUAACUCGACUAGUAGUCCGUGAGGAUAGAGAAUUAUCCCAGGGUCCAAUUGGUAAACCUUCACUCCUUCCAUUUCUCCACAGUGAGCUAGACUCAUCAUCAGCGAUUCAAACUCGGGAGAGUCGAGUACGAUUGUUUUGAGAUUAGGAAUUGUAUGAGCAGCAUUCGACGUGACGAACACAAGUACAGGUUUCGAAUGCUGAAUUUGGUGGAGAAUCUCAAGUUUAAAGAUAAUUGAUUUUUUAGGAGAGGUAACGACACCGAGAGAGAAGAUAUAGAAAUAAAGGACCGAAAGGUGAAUAGAGCUAGGAGAAAGCACGAAGGCAAUAUCUCCUUUUCUGAGGCCAAAAUGGUGGUGAAGCGAGAAGGCCAACUUUUUGUGAGAAGGACGAAGUCGGGAAAAUAAAUUCGGCAGCGAGCGACGGCGUCGAUGAGAGCGUUUUAGGUUUUUCUACACCAUUUAAGAAUUUUACCUUAAUUAACCAACGAUUAAUACCUCGCCUUGGUUAUCCAAGGUGUAGCGUAGAGUCCAGCAUCAAGUAAUAUAAAAAUACAAUAUGGCCUGCUACCGACAGAUGCUCCCCCACUUUCAAUUCAAAUUUGUAAAGAAUCGCCAAAUAUUUUUAAAUCCUAAUUUAUUGUGCCAAGAAAUAAAAUUUUGGAUUUUUAUGACACUAUUCUUUAUUUUUUCAAGAAACAAUUUCAUUUAGUCUGCUAGUGAAUGAGGAUUUGGGAUAGGUGCAACACUUCCUUUAUGCCUUAUAACUGAACUACGACAUUGCCUUUCAAAUGCCAACUAACGUUUUAUAUCUAGACGGUGACACUGCCUUUCAAUUGUUGUUUUAUAUCACAAAUUGCACCUAUUCGCAUGCCAAUUUUCGUUCCUUUGACAAGCUUUCCAAGUUAUUCAUUUUAGGUACUUCUGUAUGCUUCUAUCCUAAGUUAUAGUCAAGUUUUGGCAAUAUUAAGGGUCUAAUUCACUCAUGGUCUCUUUAUCAAACUUGUUCUCCUAUAUCUUAGCUAAUUCAGUGAUUUUUUUUGUUGCUUUUUUUUUCUAUAAUCUUAUAAAUAUAAUUAUUUGUAUGUUAAUUAUUUUAAAUAUAUUAAACUUAUUAAAUUUCCAAUAAGUAAUAUAUUCAACAUGAAAAUCUGUUAAUAUGGCUUGAAUUUACAUUGCUACUAUUUGCUAAUUAAAGUCUUAACAUAUAUUAUAUUUCGACCGCACCCGAAGGCUGCCUACGUACCUCCAAUAGAGGAUCAGGUCCACGUAGCUCUCAACAAUGGAUAAUAACAUAAAGUUUAUACUAACAUAAUUUAUUCUUGCUAAUAAUCAACCACAAUAUCACACUAUGCUAUACAAAAAUAAUCUUAUUCAUUUAUUGAAUAAUCUAUUGGAGGAAUAAGGGUUAUAUCUAGAAUCCAGAAAAUAACUAAGGAAACAUAAAUAAUUAUAUUUUCAUAGCUAACUUUGCACAAUCCAAUUAAGAAACUAAAUACAAAUAUUCAAAACAUAUAUA
rnacentral:lncRNA from 1 species